AGCGGGCAGAUGUGAUCAGUACAAUAAGAUCUUCAAUGCCUAGGGCAGUUAUAUUGGGAGAUUAUGUGAUAGACAUGGACGACAGUGACUCUGACUUUGAUGAUGACAGUGACUCUGGCACCGAUUUCGAUGACUACAAUGAUGAUUUUUUCGAUAACGCAAAUGGUAUCUUUGGACGGAGGAAUGGUCGGAGUAUCUUUACCGCACUCAUGAGGGAGGCUGCCCGUAAUAGGAGGUUUAGAAGAAGCCGUGU
rnacentral:lncRNA from 1 species